rnacentral:rRNA from 1 species
UACGUAGGGUGCAAGCGUUGUCCGGAAUUAUUGGGCGUAAAGAGCUCGUAGGCGGUUUGUCGCGUCUGCUGUGAAAUCUGGGGGGCUCAACCCCCAGCCUGCAGUGGGUACGGGCAGACUAGAGUGCGGUAGGGGAGAUUGGAAUUCCUGGUGUAGCGGUGGAAUGCGCAGAUAUCAGGAGGAACACCGGUGGCGAAGGCGGGUCUCUGGGCCGUAACUGACGCUGAGGAGCGAAAGCAUGGGGAGCGAACAGG